AUCUGAUUUCAGGAUACAUUAGGCGUUCGUGUAAGAUGAUUAUAUGUAAUUAGUCUUCCUAAUUAUGAGACAUCAUUUUCUAAAUGUUCCACAUGACAAGAGACCGAGUGUCGCUGAAUGCUGUCCCUUCUUUUUAUUUUAAGCUACAAUACAACAUUCAACACCUUCGCACUCGACUCAUCAUAAUAAAACCUCUAUGCUACUACUCUAAACUUGUAUAAAGAAUCUCAGGCAGCCGUACUUUAUCUUCCUGCAAAAGAUCAGUUUGAGUCGUCGAAUAAUUUAACUGAGCCCCUCUUAGAGAUUUACUAUGAAACCCGAGAACUCUCAUUUGCCCAUUAUCAUCAAGUUGAUAAAGUACGCCUGAUAAGCCGAUACCUGAGGAAUCUGUUUGCAAAUAAUAAGGUGAUGUAAGUCCCUAACACGCAAGCUACGUCAGUACAAUGAAGCAGAGGAAGAGAAUUUGAUUUAUUUAGAUACUAGUAUAUAGAAAUAUUUUAUUUUAUAUUUAAUUAACUCCAAAUCAAAUCAGUUCACAUUCCAGUUUUCUUACGGCAGCAGAAAUGUAGCCAAAAAG